GUUGGCUUUGAACCGUUUAACAUAGUCCACUGAAAUGUGUAACCCCACAAAUAUAAUCUCCAUAAACUCUUACUCCGUGACAAAUGUCUUGAGGGAGGACCAAACAGAGCAGCUGCCACUGCCAGCCUUGAUUCCAUCACCCCAUUCCUCAACCCAAAAGGCAAAAAGGUUGCUUUUUUACUUGUGGUUUUGGGGAAUGAAUGGUGAGUUUUCGUUGGAAAACGCGUCCAAUGAUGAAUGAUCCAAUGACAAACGAACAAAAAUGUCGCUUAUAUAUACUUGUGAAAGAUCUACAACAGUUACCUGAUGUCGAUCAAGUGCAAGCUCAUCGCUUGUAGUAAAAGUAGAUACAAACGCGCUCGCUUAACUGGAGACCCAAAUCUUUUGUGAAAUGGCAUGGCCUUCUCUCUGUCUGCCCUCCUCCUCAAUUCCAUUGCAGCACUCUCCUUGACCCUCCUCUCCAUUUUCCUUUUCUCCAAAUCACCGCUCCAGUCCUCAACAUCUCCUCAAAUCCCCCACAGAUCUCUCCUCUCCCAAACCCAGAACCAGACUCUCCCUCUCUCUUGCUCCUCCCUUUCCCCCACGAAUGGCCUCAUCAACUACCUUUCUCUCCACUUUUGCCUUUUCAAGGGGAAUCUUUUCCUCUCGAUUCCUUCCCUUUCUUUGUUCAUUCUCCUUCAUUUUUAUAUCCUCAUCAAAACAGCCCAAUCCCAUUUCUCUAUUGUCACCACCAAGCUCACCAAUCACUUAAACCUCUCUCCAAGCAUGGGUGGAGUGACCCUUUUGGCUCUUGGUAAUGGGGCACCCGAUGUUUUUGCAUCUCUGGCGGCAGUUCGGUCUGGGCAGUACAGAACUGGGUUUGGGGCUAUACUGUCUGCUGGUACUUUUGUUUCCGCGUUUGUGGUUGGAUUUGUGGCGAUAUAUGCAGCACCAUUUAAUGUGGAUCCUGGGUCUUUUCUGAGAGAUGUUGGAUUUUAUUUGGUGGGGGCUUUGUUUCUGUUUUACGUGUAUUUGAGUGGGGAGAUAACUUUUUGGCAGGCUGUCGGAUUCGUUGGAUUUUACAUGUUCUUUGUUGGGUUUGUGUUUUGGAUGGAUUUGGGAACUGGGGUUGUUCGUAAAAGGGAUGGAGGAGAAACGGAUUAUGAGAAAGGAGGAGAAAUGCAUUUUGAGAAAGGCGGAGAAGUGGUGGUUAGCACUUUGGAGGAGGAGAAGCAGGUUUCUGGGUUGUUUGAAAGGGCUUAUGGAAAGGUAAUUAUAGUGUUCUUCUUUGAAAUUAAUGCAAUAUCUAGAUAAUUGUGAUGUUUGUGUUCUUUUGAAUGUUAAGUUGUGGUUAGCUAUGAGAUAUUAGUUAUUUUCUGUUUGCGAAGCCUUUUUUUGGUGGGGGGGAGUUAGACUGUUAUCAAUUUUCUCUUCUCAAUUAUCUGUUUGUGAUAGUUUAUAGGAUAGGGCAUUCUCCUCAUUGUUUUUUAGUAUUCAACAAGGUAACUACUAAAUUGCACAAUGAAUUCUGGAUAGUUCUAUAUUUCUUCCCAGACUGGAAGGGAAAUUGGGACUUGCAUUUAAAAGAUGUUUAAUUUUGCAGUCACUUUAUGUAGAGUUUCUAGUUUUAAUCUUCAUCGCCUGUGAGCAACCUCUGUUUUAUUCAGAUGUUGGAAUCCAACACCACUGAUUGGCGCCACUUGGCUUAUGCAAUUUAAGUUAAAAUAAGUCAUUGUGCAUUAAACAGCUUACAUUAUGAACUCAGUUUUUUUUUUAGGGUACAUUUAAAUGUCUUAUUUCUUUACUUGAAUUAGUACUGAGUUUUGAUAGUGUUGGUAUUCCAGUAUUUCAUCUUAAGAUGAUGCUAUGAAAAUGAUAUAGAUUUUACCUAUUUAUUGAUGGUGCAAAGUGCAGGCACUUGCUUGGGGAAGGUUAGAAGAAGAAAAAGGACCAAAGAUUCAUAAAUAAGAAUUCUGAUUAUUCGCAUCACGCGUUUGUGAUGAUAAAAUGUAAAAAAAUUUUCAUUUUGCUGAGAUGAAAAUAAAACCUUCACAUGUGCAUAAAAUAGAGUUUACUUGACUUUUGUUUGCAGGCCCAUAAAAAAAUUUGUGCCCUUCAAAUUGGGCUAUAAGUAAGCAUAGCACUUGCACCUUGAGUUCCCACCCCCUCUAUUAUGUACUUUGCAGCCUGCCAAGGGAAGUGGCGGCUAAUAUUUCGGUAAUCAGUAAUGCUUUAUAUAUCAUCAUAGAAAAGAAGAGAAUGGACAAAGAGAGAGGAACCAGAAUAAGGCGGGAGAAGAGAGAAUUGAUGCGACAGAAUUUCCAGACUCUUUCCAUAAUGUCUACAUUGGAUUCUGGUAGAUCAGGGAGUUGCCAUUGUAGUGCUGGCGGCCUUUAUUGGCGACUCUCCCUUCCACGCCUUGUACCUUGCAGCUGGCACACUCUGUGUCUGUCUCAUCCCUGUAGAGGCGCUGGCCUUAGGGCCUGGUGCACAUUGCUACUUGACAACUGUGGAAGUGACUAAUAGAAGGGGCAUUAAACAUUUGGGAAAUUAUUGUUUUGUUUUUUGAAGGAUGACUUGAAGCUUUGGGGUUUACCAAAAUCCAGUAGCCCAAAGCAAAGUGUGUAGGUGUUCAUUUUGCUGGCAAAAUGGGAAAUGCUCUAUGUUGCUCCUCUAGUUUUUCCAGAGGCCCUCUAUAUUAGUAAACCCUUUAUAUAUAUGUUUGUUGUGUGGAUUUCAUAUGCAUAUAUUUCUUGAUUCAUUGUCACCCUCUAGUACAAAGCCAAACAAUAAAUGAUAUGUAAAUUUUUUUAAUUGGGAACUUGUAUUUGACUUUUUGUUUAGUUCCUUACUUCCUUUUAUAAUUUUUUUAUUUUGUCAUGUGUUUCUUACAGAUCUCAAAAGUAUGGGAGCGCCCAAUCUCGUUUCUUCUUAAGCUCACAAUUCCACAAACUGCUCCUUCAGAAUGGAGCAGGUUCUACGUAUCUGCCAAUAUAAUUCUUUGUCCUCUAGCACUUCUAUAUACUUGCAACUCAUUCAUGCCAUUAGAUCAUCCCAUAGUGUUCCUCCUUCCAAACACUCAUUUCCCACUCUGGUUCAUAGUACUCCUGGCAAGCUCCUCUCUUGCACUUCUUCACUUCAUAUUGGAAAAGGAAUCUCCAAAGACCGAGCAAAUGCCUGUAGUGCUUGUGGCAUUUAUAAUGAGUGUUUUCUGGAUAUCUACUGUUGCUGGAGAACUGCUAGACUGCUUGGUGGCAAUUGGAAUGCUUCUUAAAGUGCAUCCUUCAAUUCUGGGCCUUACGGUACUUGCUUGGGGAAACUCAGUGGGUGAUCUUGUGGCUGAUGUUGCAGUUGCCAGAGCAGGGCAGCCAGCAAUGGCCAUGGCUGGGUGCUUUGCUGGGCCAAUGUUUAAUAUGCUUGUUGGACUUGGGACAGCAUUGGUGAUGCAAACAGCUGAUACUUAUCCAAAAGCUUAUGAACUUCAUCUCCACACUGGUAUUGUGAUUGCAUUUGUGUUCUUGCUCUUGAGCCUGAUGGGAUCUCUGCUAGUUAUAACUUGGUCCAGAUUUCGGGUGCCUAAAUCCUGGGGCUUUUGCCUUGUCGGCCUUUAUUUAUUUUUCAUGGUAGUUAGCUUAGUCAUUGCUACGUUUUUAGGAUGAUUUAUUCAAUCCAUAAAAUCAAAAUUUUGUUCAGUUAUUGCUAAAUUCUUUAUGCCACUUCACAGGAAAUCUUCCCAGCUAUAUGUUGGUGGAAACACAGCAUAUAAGAUUGUUAUCAGAAGAUUUUACAAAGAUUAUUGAAUUUUUAUUAUAGUCCAAUCUGAAAAAUGUAUUUUGUAUCCUAUGUUCAUUAAUUGAUUUUUUUCCCCAAUAUAUCCACUAAUUUCUGAAGUUUUAACAGAUGCUAAUGUGAUCCAGAAAAUGUAGUUUGUUG
rnacentral:misc_RNA from 1 species